GGGACUUACAACCUUUUAUGCGUCGAGGAGAGAUAUUUAACGGAUCGGGGAGAGACUCAAUUUCAUCAACGUAUGCUCACUGUUUCGCCAAAUGACUGCAACGGUGGGGCUUCGUCCGGUCAGUUAUCGAGGGAUAUCCUCUAUCGAACGUAAAUGAAAUGCAGACCAGAAACAACGCGACUCGAUUGAGAAAUUAAUCGACGUAUUGAUUACGCAUGCUUCGCACAGGCAUUUUAAAUUCGGCACUGCGAAAGUCACUCGCCGGAUAAGAUGCAACUUUUACUUACGAUCCUCUUCAAGUACGAAGUUACCGUCAUUUCUCGCUCGUGAGUAAUUACCGCGUUACAGUGAAAAUUAAUCCCCGAUCCUGAAACACGAAACUGGACUAGUAAUUCGCUCUAAAAAAGAAGAAAAAAGAGAACUUCAAACAGUUU